ensembl:lncRNA
GGCCAUUUAAUUAACACCUUCCUAGGACAGAAGAGCUGACUAGUCCCGAAGCCUUUGGCCAGAAGAGACCGAGCGAUUUACAAGGUUCAGGCUUUUAGACGCCUGCAGAAACCAGCCUUUUCCCAUGGCAUUCCAUCAGAUCUGCAAGUAAGGGCAGCUUCUGCGAUGACUUCACUUCUCUGCAUUGCAACACUGCACUGAACUGUGGCCAACUGCUGGAGUUUGCUCAUUUGUGUGUUUCCACUGGAGACCUGCUGAUUCAAUCAUUUUAAAGCUGCCCAUUUCUUCCACGUCAGAGAUUUUAUAGCUCUAAGGAUUAGCAGCUUUUAUCCCAACAAACCCCGAAGCUCUAUAUAUUCUGAUUUUUAUGUUGUGGAGCAACCCCAUUGACUUCUAUGAGACUACUUGGAAUCAAGCAGAGUGCCAACUGAGAAAGGGCUCUCCAUUGGCCAGUCAGGUCUGGAGGCUACUUGCCAUCUUACAGGAAAGGCUUUCGGAAGAGGAGAAGGAUCGACUCAUGCAAUCCGGCGAGGGCAGGUUAGCUGCAGGGAACUCAGUUGCCGACCAGCCAGAAUUUUAUCAGCCCAGCCGGAAUUGUGUUUGCCUGUACUGUUGCCAGAAGAGUGAGAGACUUGGAAGCGAGAGAGGGAAAUUUGACUUUGAGUUGCUAUUCCCCCACUUUAAGGUUUUUAAGACAAAAGAUUUCACCCUAUUGGCACUCUAUUGCCAACUGACCACAAAUAUUGUUGUUGCCUGUAUUAUGUAUGUGUUGUCCUUCUGCAUUCAAAGCAGCUGCUCUACCCAUCCAGCUGUGGCUCCUGCCACCCUCACAGCAAUCUCUGGCCAUAAAAUGGGCCUGUCAUUCUCCUCCAGCAAUAGGCAUUGUGUGGGGGAGUGUGACUGCAGCUUUCUCCCGAUUGAAGUGCAGAGUGUCUGAGGACUGGGACAUUCGCAGGGAAACAAAAAUGCUUGUUAACAAAGCUAUUGUACUACCAACCUUCCUGUAAUCUUGUGAAACAUGGACCACUUAUAAACGCCAUCUCCAACUCCUCGAAAGAUUCCAUCAACGGUGUCUCCAAAAAAAAUUUACACAUCAUUUCGGAAGACAGGCGAACUAAUGCCAAUGUACUGGAAGAAGCAAAGAUCACAAGUGUCGAAGCAAUGAUUCUUCAACAUCAACUUUGUUGGAUGGGUCAUGUUGAUCGGAUGCCUGAUUAUAGUCUUCCAAAGCAACUACUCUAUUCCAAACUUUAAAAUGGAAAGCGCAAUGCUGGUGGUCAACAGAAGAGGUUUAAAGACUCUCUCUCAAGGCAAAUCUUUAAAAAUGUAGUAUGAACACCAACAACUGAGAAACACUGGCCUGCGAGUGCUCCAAUUGGAGAACAGCCUUUUCCAAAGGUGUCAUGGGCUUUGAAGACACUUGAACUCAGGAUUGAAAGGGAGAAACAUGCUAAGAGAAAGGCAUGCUUGGCAAACCCUCACCAUGAUCAACUCCCACCUGGAAACCUCUGUCCCCACUGUGGAAGGACGUGUGGAUCCAGAAUUGGCCUCCACAGUCACUAACGGACUCACUGUUAAGACCAUGUUUAUGGAAGACACUCUUACUGGGCUACAAGUGAUCGCCAAAGAAAGAAGGAUUCAUCCAACCUGGAAUCCUGUUUUCAACCACUGACAGUCAGAUGUUUCCAGGAAACCCACAAGCAGGACAUGACAUUAACAGUUAUUCUUUUGAAAUCAGUCCACCAGGAGAGCUACACUUGUUCAGAGGUAAACUUCUUCUGGCUGUGGAGGUUCAAUUUUACUAGCCUGGCUAAUUGCCAUGAUUCAGACUUGGAUGCUGUAGACUUGCUGGCAUUCCUUUGUUGCUUUGAUGAGUGCCAACUAUGAAAUCUCUUAAGCUGUCAACUGUCCAAUACUACCAUUGCAUGUCAUCUAUCAAAUACACCCAGCUACUCGUAAUUACCAUUGCAUGCCAAGUAUCAAACACUAGCAGAUGCCAAACACCAUUGCAUGCCAGCUCUCAAAUGCUGACACCCACCAAAUACUACUGAAUGCCAACUCUAAAAUAUUGUCACAUGCGAAACAUUACAACCGAGCAUCAAAGUCAAAUCAAAUCAUUUGAAUCAAAUAUUGCCGGAAAUUGCAGAGCUAUCCAUUAGUUGGCAAAUGCUCGGGCAAGAUCUGAAGGACUAUUCAGAGAACAUCUUGUGAAGUGUACAAUCAAAAUUCACAGAGGACAUUUUGGGGACUGAAGUUAGUUGUUUAAGCUCUAGCUUGGAAUCCGUUCUGAGCACAGCUUUCUAGCAAGGCAUUUUUAAAAAAAAAAAAACUAGCAGCCUUCUGCAAGCAAGGAAAAAUUGUUUUUCCUCUUUCCAAAGAACAAGCCUGGUGCACAGCAUUCUGGGUAACCAUAUGCAACCUCCCUUGACACCAAUCAGUAAGCAAAAUCAUUAGCGCAGCCAAAGUGUUGAAAGGGACAGGAGAGGUUUGCAUUCCAUCCACUGCACUUGUGGCCACAUUUACAUGCCAUAAUGGCCUAUUUGGGUCUCAUAAGGCCGGUGCAGCUGUUACUUCUGCUUGGGCAGCAGUAGCCUAAAGGAGGGAAAGAUGCUUGGGUUUGGCUAUUGCUGCUGCUUCAGCAGCCUGAUUUAUAGGCUCUGUUCCAUUCAUUCGCUUGCUUUAAAGCCAAGGUCGUUUCGAAAACCAUGCGUUCCCAUGCAGGAAAUGGAGGCAUCUUAUCUACAUAGCCUGGGUUACUGGGUUCCUCUUUGCUAAGCUGUUCAGCAGAUUACUGCAUUAUGAUAAAGCUGGAAGUGAAUUCAGGGCCGGCCCUAUCAUUGGACAGAGUGAAGUAGCCAUCUUAGGUGGAAUGCUGCUGCAGCCCCUGAUGAUUCCCUCUGAUGGGGGCACUGCUUGCUGAAUGCUUCACCUAGUCAUCUUCUCCCAGUGCAUUACAGAUGACAGUGCUAAGGGAAGGGUUCCUUGUGGGAUGUGAUCCAUGAGAGGCCGUCAAGUACAACAUUCCUUGUAAUGCUAGAGAAGACAUGCGAGGGAAUGUUUGGUCCAGCCAGUCAAAACUUCCUGUUCCUCCUGGCUGGAGCAUCCUUCCUUUGCAUGUGACUAAAGGUGGGUGUGACCUAACCUGUCCAGGUAACCAAAGGACGAGUCAUGCAGCACACCUUCCUCUUUUUUACUUCCUUCUUCAUUUGACCAGCUUCUAGCUAGGACUGCUCUGCUAGCUCUCAGCUAGCAGAAGCACUGGGAUUAUUCCCCCAUAUGGGGUAGAUGCACAUGUACAUAUUUGUAACUAAGUCUGCCUUCAGGAAUCCAACUGUGAACUGAUGUGAGUAAACUUCCUUUAUUGACUUGAAAUAAGAUUGUCGUGUCUUUAUUCUUCUAAGAGGGGUUAAAGGGAAUUUUCCAGGAACAUACAAUUC